UUGCAGCUAAAUUAUCAGUCUCAUGUUUAAGCUACUCUUCCAAAUAGCCAAAUAAAAGUUCAACCGCCUCCAAACUAUCAUCACAUACCUCAUCCCACUAAUCAAAACCAAUAUAACCCUUCAUGUCUAAACUUCGAAAAAGAACCUCCUAGAAAAUUUACUUCAUUGGCUGAAAGUCGUACCCAACUCUUUUAAAGAUUGAUGAAAGUUGGUUAUUUACAGCCUAUUACACCAAAG
rnacentral:lncRNA from 1 species